rnacentral:lncRNA from 1 species
AACUCUCCCUGCUGGGAACAAUUAGGUCAGGCUGCAGAGAAAAUGAAACAUUGUAAUUUAAAAUUGUAUAAUUCUUAAUAUUUUACGGAAUUGGGCACGAAUCAGGUGCCUCCUCCAGCAUGUGGCUGCCACGUGCCUGGAUUUUGAACAGGAAUGUUGCACCUUUGGAUGCAAGAAGACAGGUGGGCUCUGCUUCCUCCCUCCUGCUGGUUCUAGAUAGCACCCAGAAUUGAAUGUGGCACUCAAGGAAUGGUCUGAAAUGGUCUUCUCUCCCAUGAUUGCUUGCUGAAUACUCUACUUUUCGAUAGCCUCUAUAUGUUUCCGCAUUUGGGAAGAUGAUCAGAAAGAUAUAUGUUGUUCCUGAAAUCAUCAGGUGAAUGAUCCCAUCAUCCUACUUCCUUGCAUGGACUCUCCAAACAGAAAGCACACCAGCAAGUUCAUCUGGGCACAGUUUUCAUCAUAUCCUCCUUUUCUUGCUCCUGAUCUGGGGACUUAUUAGUGGGAGAAUAAUGAAAGUGAAUCCACAGGUAUAAGAGAAUUAGGCAUUUGUGAGGCUGAGAAAAUAGGCUCCUGGACCACAUAUAAGGGUUACUCUAGGCAUCUAAUUUUUCCAAAC